rnacentral:rRNA from 1 species
GACGAACGCUGGCGGCGUGCUUAACACAUGCAAGUCGAACGGUGAAGGUGGGAGCUUGCUCCCACCGGAUCAGUGGCGAACGGGUGAGUAACACGUGAGUAACCUGCCCCAGACUCUGGAAUAACCCCGGGAAACCGGAGCUAAUACCGGAUACGAGACGAAGCCGCAUGGCUAUCGUCUGGAAAGUUUUUCGUUCUGGGCUGGACUCGCGGCCUAUCAGGUUGUUGGUGAGGGAACGGCUCACCAGGGCGACGAAGGGUAGCCGGCCUGAGGGGGCGGCCGGCCACGCUGGGACUGAGACACGGCCCAGACUCCUACGGGAGGCAGCAGUGGGGAAUAUUGCACAAUGGGCGCAAGCCUGAUGCAGCGACGCCGCGUGAGGGAUGACGGCCUUCGGGUUGUAAACCUCUUUCAGCAGGGAAGAAGCGAAAGUGACGGUACCUGCAGAAGAAGCACCGGCUAACUACGUGCCAGCCGCCGCAGUAAAAC